GACGAACGCUGGCGGCGUGCUUAACACAUGCAAGUCGAACGGAAAGGCCCUGCUUGCAGGGUACUCGAGUGGCGAACGGGUGAGUAACACGUGGGUGAUCUGCCCUGCACUUCGGGAUAAGCUUGGGAAACUGGGUCUAAUACCGGAUAGGAACCAUCUUUAGUGUGGUGGUUGGAAAGUUUUUUCGGUGUAGGAUGAGCUCGCGGCCUAUCAGCUUGUUGGUGGGGUAAUGGCCUACCAAGGCGGCGACGGGUAGCCGGCCUGAGAGGGUGUACGGCCACAUUGGGACUGAGAUACGGCCCAGACUCCUACGGGAGGCAGCAGUGGGGAAUAUUGCACAAUGGGCGCAAGCCUGAUGCAGCGACGCCGCGUGGGGGAUGAAGGCCUUCGGGUUGUAAACUCCUUUCGCUAGGGAAGAAGCUUUGUUGUGACGGUACCUAGAUAAGAAGCACCGGCUAACUACGUG
rnacentral:rRNA from 1 species